CUGAGGAGGGCAAAUUUAGAAUUGCUAUUGGCUUUUUUUUUUUAAAGGAGGAACGUAAUGCAGCUGGAACAGCCAAAAAGCCAGUUAGAGGAAAUGGAGCGAGAGCCAGAGGCUGUUGUUACCGAUGGUCAGAUAGAGUUCCAUGAAGCAGGAACCAUGUUGUACUUACGGCACAGCACAGCAUCUGACACAUAGGAGCCCUUGCAGAGGCAGCUCACACCCCAGCAGCGAGAGUGGCACCCCUCAGCCCCUUCUCCAGGAACUGCACUGCACUCAACAUCUCAGUGUCAAGGUGCCAAGAGUUUUGACCUGGUCUGUGAGUUCUGGGUUUUAUCUCCAUUUAUUUUGUGCAUCCAUUAGCAAGAUGUAUCCUAAGGGAUAAUAAAAGCCUAAGAGAAGUUA